ACAACGGCUCUUUUAAGAGCCACACAACAUUUCACUGAAAGAGUCUU
rfam:Danio rerio chromosome 7, GRCz11 reference primary assembly.